rnacentral:piRNA from 1 species
UNUGCCUGCACACUAUCCGCGCCCUCUAC